rnacentral:rRNA from 1 species
GAUGAACGCUAGCUACAGGCUUAACACAUGCAAGUCGCGGGGCAGCAUGGGGGUUGCUUGCAAUCCCCGAUGGCGACCGGCGCACGGGUGAGUAACGCGUAUCCAACCUGCCCUUCACCACGGGAUAACCCGGCGAAAGUCGGACUAAUACCGUAUGUUGUCCAUUGACGGCAUCCGAUUUGGACGAAAGGCUUGGCGGUGAGGGAUGGGGAUGCGUCCGAUUAGCCAGACGGCGGGGUAACGGCCCACCGUGGCUACGAUCGGUAGGGGUUAUGAGAGGAAGGUCCCCCACACUGGAACUGAGACACGGACCAGACUCCUACGGGAGGCAGCAGUGAGGAAUAUUGGUCAAUGGGCGUAAGCCUGAACCAGCCAAGUAGCGUGCAGGAUGACGGCCCUAUGGGUUGUAAACUGCUUUUAUGCGGGGAUAAAGUGGCCCACGUGUGGGCUUUUGCAGGUACCGCAUGAAUAAGGACCGGCUAAUUCCGUG